GUGGGGAAUAUUGCACAAUGGGGGGAACCCUGAUGCAGCGACGCCGCGUGAAGGAAGAAGUAUCUCGGUAUGUAAACUUCUAUCAGCAGGGAAGAAAGAGGACGGUACCUGACUAAGAAGCCCCGGCUAACUACGUGCCAGCAGCCGCGGUAAUACGUAGGGGGCGAGCGUUAUCCGGAUUUACUGGGUGUAAAGGGAGCGUAGACGGCCAUGCAAGCUCGGUGUGAAAGGUGCGGGCACAACCCGCAGACUGCACUGAGAACUGUAUGGCUGGAGUGCCGGAGGGGCAGGCGGAAUUCCUGGUGUAGCGGUGAAAUGCGUAGAUAUCAGGAGGAACACCGGUGGCGAAGGCGGCCUGCUGGACGGCGACUGACGUUGAGGCUCGAAAGCGUGGGGAGCGAACAGGA
rnacentral:rRNA from 1 species